rnacentral:rRNA from 1 species
CCUACGGGAGGCAGCAGUGGGGAAUUUUGGACAAUGGACGCAAGUCUGAUCCAGCCAUGCCGCGUGUGGGAAGAAGGCCUUCGGGUUGUAAACCACUUUUGUCAGGGAAGAAACGGUCUAGGUUAAUACCUUGGGCUAAUGACGGUACCUGAAGAAUAAGCACCGGCUAACUACGUGCCAGCAGCCGCGGUAAUACGUAGGGUGCAAGCGUUAAUCGGAAUUACUGGGCGUAAAGCGUGCGCAGGCGGUUAUGCAAGACAGAUGUGAAAUCCCCGGGCUCAACCUGGGAACUGCAUUUGUGACUGCAUGGCUAGAGUACGGUAGAGGGGGAUGGAAUUCCGCGUGUAGCAGUGAAAUGCGUAGAUAUGCGGAGGAACACCGAUGGCGAAGGCAAUCCCCUGGACCUGUACUGACGCUCAUGCACGAAAGCGUGGGGAGCAAACAGGAUUAGAUACCCUGGUAGUCCACGCCCUAAACGAUGUCAACUGGUUGUUGGGAGGGUUUCUUCUCAGUAACGUAGCUAACGCGUGAAGUUGACCGCCUGGGGAGUACGGCCGCAAGGUUGAAACGUCAAAGGAAUUGAGG